AAAAUAUUUUAUUACUAAAACUGGAAUGAUACAGAGAUUAGUACAGCCACUGUGCAAGGAUAACAUGCUAAUUCGUGAAACAUUCCAUCUUGAA
ensembl:snRNA U6 U6 spliceosomal RNA